UCCGGUGGUUCUGAAUGGAAGGGCCAUCGCUCAACGGAUAAAAGGUACUCCGGGGAUAACAGGCUGAUACCGCCCAAGAGUUCAUAUCGACGGCGGUGUUUGGCACCUCGAUGUCGGCUCAUCACAUCCUGGGGCUGAAGUAGGUCCCAAGGGUAUGGCUGUUCGCCAUUUAAAGUGGUACGCGAGCUGGGUUUAGAACGUCGUGAGACAGUUCGGUCCCUAUCUGCCGUGGGCGCUGGAGAACUGAGGGGGGCUGCUCCUAGUACGAGAGGACCGGAGUGGACGCAUCACUGGUGUUCGGGUUGUCAUGCCAAUGGCACUGCCCGGUAGCUAAAUGCGGAAGAGAUAAGUGCUGAAAGCAUCUAAGCACGAAACUUGCCCCGAG
rnacentral:rRNA from 1 species